rnacentral:lncRNA from 1 species
AACAAAGAUAAGCCCAAGAUGGCACAGAAUUCAUGAGGAGCCGAAGGGGUGGAUUUUCUCCUCUGAUGCCGUCUGGCCCAGGAGGACAUCAUCCUCCGCCCUGGAGGGCCCAUGAGAUGCUCAGGGCCACAUCAGUACAUUUCUAUGCAGCUCCAGAUAGGUAUCCUGUAAACUUCAGCUGACCUGGUAUCAUUCCAGAAUGGGCCAGAAACCCUGGAUUCUCUCUGAGUCUGAAUUGUACUGUUUAAGCUGCAUCAGAAGGAAGCAACCCACAGUUUGCACUUCAG